rnacentral:rRNA from 1 species
GGAGGGUGCAAGCGUUGUUCGGAAUUACUGGGCGUAAAGCGCGUGUAGGCGGCUUGGCAAGUCGAGUGUGAGAUCCCAGGGCUCAACCCUGGAACUGCACCCGAAACUGCCUAGCUAGAGUCCCGGAGAGGGUGGCGGAAUUUCCGGUGUAGAGGUGAAAUUCGUAGAUCUCGGAAGGAACACCAGUGGCGAAGGCGGCCACCUGGACGGUGACUGACGCUGAGACGCGAAAGCGUGGGGAGCAAACAGGAUUAGAUACCCUGGUAGUCCACGCCGUAAACGUUGAGUGCUAGGCGUCGGGGGUAUUGACCCCCUCCGGUGCCGGAGUUAACGCAUUAAGCACUCCGCCUGGGGAGUACGGCCGCAAGGCUA